UUUGAAUUAGCUCAAUCGGCAGAGCAUAAGCCUUCCAAGCUUAGUGUCGGGGGUUCGAAUCCCUCAUUCAAAACAA
rnacentral:tRNA from 1 species